ACUUGGGGUGACUCCUUCCCACCCAGGCGCCCCUAAGUACAGUGUCUUAACCCACAACAGUUCAUCUCUCACCCCACUAUACUUUCACCAAGGGUCAGCCAGUGUCUCUGUCCCAUGUUAUUAUUGACCUCCCUCUGGACCCAGCCAGUGGGGUAACCACCUUCUGGAAUGCUGCUGGUUUCCAUGGCUAAGGAGAGAGACUAGGGGUGAGUCUUUCCCACCCGAACCUGAUAAGCUCAAGUACCCACAGAGACAUGGGGGCAAGAAAGGCACUAAGAGGUAUGCAGAUCUAAGACGGAUGUCUGGAAAAAAACCAUAGGGAUGGCUACUGCCCCAAGAAGCUGACCAGACUCGAACAGAUAAGAAGUGGACUGUGUUUAGU